rnacentral:rRNA from 1 species
AUGCAUGAUCAGAGAGAUAUGGCGAGGGAGGUGGAGAGGAAGUUGUUGGUGAUCUUGAAGAAUGGCAAGACGCCGAGCGAUGCGCCGCUGCACCAACUGCCCAAGACGCUGAGCGGCGCGCAGCUGCUGCCGCUGCCCAAGAAGAUGACAAGCACAAAUGAUGGUUUGAUCUGUGUGCAGUUGCUUUAUUUAUUUCUUAAUCAGUGGAGAUCAUUUUUAUUAAUUAUUUUGACACGACCUCUAUGCUUUCUGUCAAGAGAUUGUUUUUGUACUUGCUUAUUUAUUGUUAUCUACCAUUUUUAA